GACGAACGCUGGCGGCGUGCUUAACACAUGCAAGUCGAACGGAAAGGCCCUGCUUUUGUGGGGUGCUCGAGUGGCGAACGGGUGAGUAACACGUGAGUAACCUGCCCUUGACUUUGGGAUAACUUCAGGAAACUGGGGCUAAUACCGGAUAGGAGCUCCUGAUGCAUGGUGGGGGUUGGAAAGUUUCGGCGGUUGGGGAUGGACUCGCGGCUUAUCAGCUUGUUGGUGGGGUAGUGGCUUACCAAGGCUUUGACUGGUAGCCGGCCUGUGAGGGGGACCGGCCACAUUGGUACUGAGAUAGGGCCCAGACUCCUACGGGAGGCAGCAGUGGGGAAUAUUGCACAAUGGGCGGAAGCCUGAUGCAGCAACGCCGCGUGCGGGAUGACGGCCUUCGGGUUGUAAACCGCUUUCGCCUGUGACGAAGCGUGAGUGACGGUAAUGGGUAAAGAAGCACCGGCUAACUACGUG
rnacentral:rRNA from 1 species